rnacentral:rRNA from 1 species
GCGCAGCAGGCGCGAAACCUUCGCAAUGCGGGAAACCGCGACGAGGGGACUCCCAGUGCCUACGCUCAGCGUAGGCUGUUCCCGAGCCUAGAAAGCUCGGGGAGUAAGGGCUGGGUAAGACGGGUGCCAGCCGCCGCGGUAAUACCCGCAGCCCGAGUGGUGGCCACUAUUAUUGGGCCUAAAGCGUCCGUAGCCGGCCCGGUAAAUGCCUGGGGUAAAUCGUGAGGCCUAACCUCACGAAUUCCGGGUAGACUGCCGGGCUAGGGACCGGAGGAGGGAGAGGGGUACUCCAGGGGUAGGGGUGAAAUCCUGUAAUCCCUGGAGGACCACCGGUGGCGAAGGCGCUCUCCUAGGACGGGUCCGACGGUGAGGGACGAAAGCCAGGGGAGCGAACCGGAUUAGAUACCCGUGUAGU